CAGAGUUUACAACUCCCAAACCCUUAUGUGAACAUACCAAUCGUUGCUUCGGCGAACCGCCCCGGCGUCCGGUCAGCCUCGUGCUGGCCGCGGCCCGGACUCAGGUGGCCGCCGGAGACCCCCAAAACUCUUUUGUAUUUACAGUAUCUUCUGAAUCCGCCGCAAGGCAAAACAAAUGAAUCA
rnacentral:misc_RNA from 1 species